rnacentral:sRNA from 1 species
UACUUAUCAACCAAAAUAGUUUUUUUUCUCUACCUAACGAAUUUUGGUCAGACUUCUGUUUUGACUAAUUUAUAACCUAUACGCGAGAUAACAAAAAAAGUCUGCACAUUUUUUUUCUCUUCGUGUUAUCUCUGUGAUCCAAGAGCAGAGGUGACCUUCUAACAAUAUUGCCAAACGUUAGCGAAUCGACCAGUGCGCAAAGUGUCGCUGGCAGUUCACUGGAUCUAUCGCUCACACACACAGGGAGUUCCAACUAACUUCGCGGGUGGGGUUUAAAUUUGAGUUUUGAAUUGAUACGCAGGCAUAGAAAGAAAUGGCUUCUAGAACUUUCGGAUUCGGCCUCAGAGCUUU